UCAACUCCUAGACUUAAUGCACUCAUAAAUAAAAUAACCAAUAAUUGGACACAUGAAAUAAUAACUCCAAAAUAGAUAGGCAUAGAUGCACCGGGGCUUGCCUUGUCCACAAAAAGGUUAGCGUCUUCCGAUGAUCCUACUUCGCAAGGGAUCAACUCAACAAUCUCCUAAAACUCUGAAGGUUCUUCGGAUAACUCCAAGAAUUCCACUUCUGGAGCUUCAGUGUCUAUGCUUUAGUACAUGCAGGAGUUAGAGAUGCAAACUUUUGAACACAUGACUAUACAACUUUCCUUCAUGAUAAAGUUGCAAGCCAACAAGUGACUAUACAAACUAUCUUCAUGAUAAAGUUGCAAGCCAACACUAAACUACCCAUAAAGAUUGACCCAAAAAAAUUUAAUUUCUUUACUAACCUACCUUAAGCCCUUUUCUUUUAUUUUAAAAAAGCAUUAUAAAUAUUUUCUAAUCUCAGAACUUAAUUCCUAUGAUCUAAUAAUAAUUUGUGAAUAAGAAAACAUUAUUCAGAAUUUUAUGCAUUUAAUAAAGGUUAGGCAUUUAUUUAAAUACCUUAAUCAAAAGGCAUUUAAUAAAUACCUAAAUUUUAUUACCUUUCCUAGGGUUUAAGAAUUUUAAUGCAUAAAGGAAAAUAAAAAAAUCCUACUAAAAUUGGUUUUACUAUUUUUGGACAUUCCUAGAAUUUCCAGUGAAUUAAAUGGUGAUAACCAAAUUUAAUCUAUUUAUCUGCCAAAGGGAAAAUCUUUGAUUAUCCAACCCCCCGCCAAACUUUUCUCACUCACUCUACUUCUACCCCAGAUUUCUGACGCAUGGCCCUGUUGAGCCGGCCCCCUUCUUUUCCUCCCUCUCACUUUCACCUUGGUCCCAACCGUCGGCCCCCUCCCCUCCUCUCAUCUUCCCUGGUGCGUGGACCCCCAGCGCCAGGGGCUUCUUCCUCCCUGCGCCCCAAUGCAGGGCAUAAUAGCAGGGGGCGGGGCCUCGCUGGCGGUGCCUCCCUAGCGGCAUGGCCGGGCUGGGGAGCAACCCCAGCCCGCGGCGCACCUAAGGGUGGCAGCGGCUCCCUUGGAGGCGGUCUGGGCCGGCCCCUCC
rnacentral:lncRNA from 1 species